GGGCCUGUAGCUUAAUGGCAGAGCGCUUGCCUAGCAUGCAUGAAGCACUGGGUUCAAUCCUCAGCACCA
rnacentral:tRNA from 1 species